CUGCUCCUGGGAAGCGAAGCUUCACACUGAGGACGAGGAGGUGGUUUCAGACCGCAGCGCCCGGGCUCCUCCUCCCGCGCUACCCAGGGAGGCGGGCUGUGCUCUUUUCAAGGUCCCGCCAAAGGGCCCCGCCAUCCCGCAGAGAGACCUUCGCAGCCUUCCCUCCUACACUAGGCCGGGGACCGCCGGACCGGAAGCUGCGAGGUCUCGGGGCCCCGGCUCGUUCUCGCCUAGCCGCAAGCCGCGGGUGCGCAUGCUCCGCGAAAGCCCGCACAGGGCCCGGGUGAACCCUGAUAGAGCCAUCGCGAGGCGGGCUGUUGUUAUGGGCGUGCUAGGAGUUAACUCCUGGGAUGGAAAUACUACCAGGAGCGGUGAGAAGCAGGACCUAGAAAGCUCGGAGGAAGUGGGUGGAAGGUGGAGCUCUUGUCUGUCUCCUCGGCUGCUAAUCCCAGCCCCAGAUUCCGAAAGGGGAGCCCCAUGCCUCCUGAAAUGUGAGAAAAUCCUUCCACCUCACCCAACCUGGCUGCCAGUUCCUCGCUGAACCAGAUCUUUUCGCUCACAGGCUCAUCCUCAGCAGAUGGUUAUUGCUGGAACAGUGGUGGUUUGGGGAACUCUUUUUUGCUCAGAUGGUGAAGUGGGAAGGAUCUGUAGUGCUGUCCCCUCUAAUUCCUGAUAUUGGUAAUUUAUGGUUUCCCCCCGCUGCCGCCCCGAUCAGUCUCAGAAGAUGUUUUCCACUUUUAUUUAUCUUUUCAAAUAUCCAGUUUUUGGUUUCGUUGGUUUUUCUUUAUUGUCUUCCUGCUUUUCAUCUGAUUCUGAUGCACUGGAAGAGAAUGUGUACUGUGCUGUUGCUGGACAGUGUGUUCUGUCAAUGUCAAUUAUAUCAAGUUGGUUUAUAGGGCUCUUCAAGCCUUCUAUACCGUUGAUUUUUCUGCCUGCUUGUUCUGUCACUGAGAGAAGGGCAUGAAAAUAACCAACUGCAGUGAUAGGUUUUUCUAUCUUUUAGUUCUAUCUUUUCCUCCUUCGUGUUGCUGGAAGCUCUGUUAUUGGCGGUGUACAUGUUUAGGACUGUUCUCUUUUUUAAAAAAAUUUAUUUUUAUUUAUUUAUUUUUGGCUGUGUUGGGUCUUCGUUGCUGUGGGCGGGCUUUCUCUAGUUGCGGCGAGCAGGGGCCACUCUUCGUCGCGGUGCAUGGGCUUCUCACUGCAGUGGCUUCUUUUGUUGCAGAGCACGGGCUCUAGGCAUGCGGGCUUCAGUAGUUGUGGCACAUGGACUCAGUAGUUGUGGCUGGUGGCUUCUAGAGAGCAGGCUCAGUAGUUGUGGCGCACGGGCUUAGUUGCUCCGCGGCAUGUGGGAUCUUCCCAGACCAGGGCUUGAACCCGUGUCCCCUGCAUUGGCAGGCAGAUUCUUAACCACUGUGCCUCCAGGGAAGCCCCUUAACUGUUACAUUCUUUUAAAUACUCUGGUUAAUGAGUUGAUUCCUUCUCUUUAAAACUUUCAUUACACCCUUCCCUCCAUACCUAGUCUUUUCAUUCAUUUCCUCUUAGCCUUCUUUCCCUUUUUUCUUCUAAAUUUAUUUUUAUCUUCUCCUAUCUAUUUUUUUCUUCUUUUUAACAUAAACUGUAAAACUGAAUUCUCUUUAAGUGUUUCUAUGCUCCUUGCUGUCUGGCGGGCCCCCUGGGAGCAGAGGCAGGCAGCUAGGGUGGAGUUCAUGCUGGGGGGAGCCUGGUGGGGUGAGGAUCGUUCCCCUCUUCUGUUGGUUUCCUGCCUUUCCCCACAGAGUCCUUGACAACCCCUGACCUUAAUGAUCCAGAUGCCCCUCUUACUUCCCAUAACACUAAGCCAUCCAUGAUGACUACAGUUGAAACUCCAAGGAAUAUGGAUCCCAGAGAAGAGCGGGCUGAAGAGGGUUAUAUGACUUGCUUUCAUAUAUUCAUGAAAGGAGUAGACAUAUUCAGUCUUGACCUAGAGGGAAGAACAUGAACUUAGAACUACAGCCCAUGGCGACUUCCCUGGUGGUCCAGUGGUUAAGACUCCACGCUCCCUAUGCAGGGGGCCUGGGUUCCAUCCCUGGUCAGGGAACUAGAUCCUGCAUGCCGCAACGAAGACCUGGGGCAGCCAAAUUAAUAAAUAAGUAAAUAUUAAAAAACAAACCAAAAAAAACCCAAAAAACUAUAGCCCAUGGGCGAUGAUGACAAGGAAGCAAAUUUACUUUUAAAAUGAUUAGCAGAGUUGAGAAGUGGGAUGGGUUGACUGGUGAAGGAGCGUGUUUCCCAACUUUAAAAGUGAUUGAGCUGAAGCUGUAAUGUAGUAGAAGAGAAUCUUGCAUUGGUUGGGGGGUUGGUGAGGCUUCUAAGAUCUCUUUUAACGCUACGAUUCUUAGUUCUGUUUUCAGAAAAGAGACAUUGUACAGUAGAUUUUGUUAUUAUCUUCCCAGCUCCUAUUUCCCCUUUCAGAGAUGGACAUGUGACUCAAAACCUAACAGAGUCCUUCCAUGGGAUGUUUCUAUCUUGAACUAUCUGGGAAGAGUCUUUUUUUCUAUCUGUUUAGAAACAUAAAGAAUAUAAAUCCAGAGCUUCCUGCAGCUCCCAGAUAUCUUUCUAGUUGAGCUAUUUGGCCUGGGAGAACGAAGGCUACAUUUAAUGCAAAGCAGGGAGAUAAAGAGGUUGGCAAGUGUUUGAGUCUCUGAUUCUGAAAGACUACCUUCAUUAGUUCUCUUUCUGUGGUUUGAAUGUUCAAGCUAAAAACGUGCCCCUUUGGGGCUUCCCUGGUGGUUCAGUGGUUAAGAAUCCGCCUGCCAAUGCAGGGGACACGGGUUCAAGCCGAGUUCAAGCCCUGGUACAGGAAGAUCCCACAUGCUGUGGAGCAGCUAAGCCCGUUCGCCACAACUACUGAGCCUGUGCUCUAGAGCCCACGAGCCACAACUACUGAGCCCAUGAGCCACAACUACUGAGCCCACAAGGCACAACUACUGAAGCCCAUGCACCUAGAGACUGUACUCUGCAACAAGAGAAGCCACCGCAAUGAGAAGCCGGUGCACUGCCACAAAGAGUAGCCCCUGCUUGCCGCAACUCCAGCGCACAGCAACGAAGACCCAGUGCAGCCAAAAAUAAAUAAAUAAAAUAAAUAAAUCUAUAUAUUAAAAAAAUGCCCCUUUGCAUUUGGCCAGUUAAGGGUUUCUCACCUGUAACCAAAAGGGGUCUUGACUUGUGCAACUGUUAUUGUACAAAAUAUCAUUUUACAUUGAUGACUGAUUUUUCAAAUUUCUUAAUGAGAAUUCCUUUAAGAAGGAAAAGGCAGUAUCCAAUCAUUUAAACUAUUAAACUGGCCUGGGGAUAAAGUUAAUAGAUACUUCCCCAUGCCUCUGUACAAAGCCCAGCCCUCUCCAUCAGCACACUUGCCAUCUCCACUUGAGUGACUCAUCCAAAGCACAACACUUGAUUUUUUUCCCCUCCCAAACCUGCUUCUCCCCUCAUCUUUCCCAUCCCACAAAUGGUCCUUUCGUCCAUUCACCUGGAUUCUAAGUGAAAAGCUUAGGUGGCUGCUUUUAUGGUCCCCUUUUGCUCCCCCCUAGAUCUAAUCCAUCAUCAAGUCCCGAGUCUCCCUCCAGUAUGUAUCCUGGACCCUGCCCUUCUCUCCAUCCACAGUUUCUGUCAUCUCCUGCUUGGACUCUGCAGGAGCCUCUGAACUGACUCCCUGUCUCCACUUCUCAUCCCUCUCUUGUCUCUUCUUCACACAGAAGCCCAAAUGGGCCUUUAAUAACACAAAUCAGAUCCCGUCAUUUCCUUGCUUAAAACCACUGACAGCUUUCCAUUGCAUACAGAAUAAAAUGCACAGGCCUGUCGUGGUCCAGAAGACCCCGGGUGUCUGCACCAGCCCCUGCCCGCCUCUCCAACCUCAGCUCCUGUCACUCUACCCCUGCUUACUAUGCUCCAGCCACCCUAGUCUUUCUAUUCCUUGUUUCUGCCUCAGGCCCUUUGUAACAGCCAUUCCUUCUCCUGGAACAUCUUUGCCCAAAUCUUAGGGGGUUGGCUCCUUAAUUUUCAGGGCUCAGUCAGAUAUCACCUCCUCAGGGGUGCCUUUGGAUAUAGUAUAGUAGUAUUUACCACUAUCAAAAAUUACUGGUUAGAUAGCCUCAUCCACCAGAGGGCAGACAGCAGAAGCAAGAAUAACUACAAUCCUGCAGCCUGUGGAACAAAAACCACAUUCACAGAAAGAUAGA